rfam:Gallus gallus breed Red Jungle fowl, inbred line TCD001 Contig1218.1, whole genome shotgun sequence. [11-NOV-2016]
CGACCUCAGGUCAGACGUGGCGACCCGCUGAAUUUAAGCAUAUUAGUCAGCGGAGGAAAAGAAACUAACGAGGAUUCCUCAGUAACGGCGAGUGAAGAGGGAAGAGCCCAGCGCCGAAUCCCGCCCCGCGGUGGCGCGGGAGGUGUGCGUACGGAAGCCCCCAUCCCCGCGCCGCUCUCGGGGGCCCAAGUCCUUCUGAUCGAGGCCCAGCCCGCGACGGUGUGAGGCCGGUAGCGGCCCCCGCGCGCCGGGCCCGGAGGCUCCUCGGAGUCGGUUGCUGGGAUGCAGCCCAAAGCGGUGGUAAAUCCUCUAAGGCUAAAUACCGCACGGACCGAUAGCCAACAAGUACCGUAAGGAAAGUUGAAAAAACUUUGAAGAGAGAUUCAGAGGGAGGCGUGAAACCGUUAAGAGGUAAACGGUGGGGUCCCGCGCAGGUCGGCCGGGGAUCAACCCGGGGCCAGGCGGCCGGGGCUGGGCGCCCGUCGAUCCCCGCCUCCGCCUCCCCUCCUCCCUCCCCUUCGCCGGUCGGGGCGGCCCAGGGGGCGGCGGGCCGGGGACCCCGCCAGGCCGACGUCCGGGCCCGUUUCGGGCGCAUAUCCUCGCGGCGGUGCGCCGACGGACCGGUCCGGGACGGCUGGGAAGGGCUGGCGGCGGCAGGGUGGCCCGGCGCCCGCGCGAGCGGCCGUCCGGGUGUUAUAGCCGCCGGGCCCGGAUCGUCGCCCGAAUCCCGGGGCCGAGGGAGGGACCGCCGCCGCGCCCUCCCCGGAGGGGCGGCCCCCCGGAGGCCCCCCGCGCCGGACCGGCGUCGGGCCGGCCGCGCCGCGCGCGCGUCCGCGCCGCCGCCGUACGCCGCCGCUCGCUCUCUCUCCGUUCCCCGCCCGGGUCCGUCCCGGGCGCGGGGGCGGGGGGUCGGGUGUCCGGCGCGCGGCUCGGCGCGGCGCCGCGCGUGUGGCGCGCGCCUCCAGCCCGGCGCGGGCGAGGCGCGGGGGCGCGGGGGGAAACCUUCCCCCUUCUGUUCGGGCCGCCUCCGUUCCCGCGGGGGCGCCCGUUCGGGGACGGGCCCGCCGGCCCCGGCGCCGCUGUCCGACCGGGGCGGACUGCGCUCAGUGCGCCCCGACCGCGCGGCGCCGCCGGGCCGGGCUCGGGCCACGCCAGGGCGCCCGGGUCCGCGGCGACGUCGGCUACCCACCCGACCCGUCUUGAAACACGGACCAAGGAGUCUAGCACGCGCGCGAGUCGGCGGCUCGGCGAGGUGCGCGCGAGUACUGAUAUGCGCGCCGGGCGCGGUCGCUAGGACUGGCGGCGGUAAGAGUGGUGAACUAUGCCUGGCAGGCGCCGAGCCAGAGGAACUCUGGGUGGGAGGUCCGUAGCGGUCCUGACGGUGAAACGGUCGUCCACCCGGUAUAGGGGCGAAAACUAAUCGAACAUCUAGUCCCUGGUUCCCUCCGAAGUUUCCCUCAGAUAGCUGGCGCUCGGGGGCGGCGGGCAGUUUACCGGCUAAGCGUGAUAGAGGUCUUGGCCGAAAACGAUCCAACUAUGUCCAAACUUUCAUGGGUAGGACGCGCCGGCUCGCUGGCGUGGAGCGGGCCGUGGAAGCGAGCGCUCAGUGGCACUUUGGUAAGCAGAAAUGGCGCUGCGGGAUGAACCGAACGCCGGUUAAGGCGCCCGAUGCGACGCUCAUCAGAGCCCAGAAAAGGUGUUGGUUGAUCUACAGCAGACGGUGGCCAUGGAAGUCGGAACCCGCUAGGAGUGUGUAACAACUCACCUGCCGAAUCAACUAGCCCUGAAAAUGGAUGGCGCUGGAGCGUCGGGCCCAUACCCGCCCGUCGCCGCGGUGCGGAGCCGCGGGGCUACGCCGCGACGAGUAGGAGGGCCGCUGCGGUGCGCCUGGAAGCCUGGGCCGCGGGCCCGGGUGGAGCCGCCGCAGGUGCAGAUCUUGGUGGUAGAGCAACUAUUCAAACGAGAGCUUUGAAGGCCGAAGUGGAGCAGGGUUCCAUGUGAACAGCAGUUGAACAUGGGUCAGUCGUCCUAAGCGAUAGGCGAGCGCCGUUCCGAAGGGACGGGCGAUGGCCUCCGUUGCCCUCAGCCGAUCGAAAGGGAGUCGGGUUCAGAUCCCCGAAUCCGGAGCGGCGGAGACGAGCGCCGGCCUCGGUAAAGCGAUGGAGAACCGGCGGGAGCCCGGAGAGUUCUCCGUGAACCGGGGCCUGGACGGGCGCCCGGAGGCCGCCCGGCGUGGUGCGUCCGUGAGCCUCGCUGGCGGAAACCGAGAGGGAACUCCGCCGCCCGACCCUCCGCAGCAGGUCUCCAAGGAACACCUUGCCAUGUAUAGGUCGGCGCCGUCCACCGGAUAAUCUCUAAGGCUUCGGUGGGCUGGGCGCGACCGGGCGGGGGGGAGGGCGGGGUGGUCAGCGGGCGGCGGGGGGGGGGCGGCGGCGGCGACUCUGGACGCGCGCCGGGCCCUUCCCGUGGAUCGCCCAGCUGGCGCGGCGCCGGCCGCCCC